rnacentral:rRNA from 1 species
AUUGAACGCUGGCGGCAUGCCUUACACAUGCAAGUCGAACGGCAGCAUAGGAGCUUGCUCCUGAUGGCGAGUGGCGAACGGGUGAGUAAUAUAUCGGAACGUGCCCUAGAGUGGGGGAUAACUAGUCGAAAGAUUAGCUAAUACCGCAUACGAUCUACGGAUGAAAGUGGGGGAUCGCAAGACCUCAUGCUCCUGGAGCGGCCGAUAUCUGAUUAGCUAGUUGGUGGGGUAAAAGCCUACCAAGGCGACGAUCAGUAGCUGGUCUGAGAGGACGACCAGCCACACUGGGACUGAGACACGGCCCAGACUCCUACGGGAGGCAGCAGUGGGGAAUUUUGGACAAUGGGGGCAACCCUGAUCCAGCAAUGCCGCGUGAGUGAAGAAGGCCUUCGGGUUGUAAAGCUCUUUUGUCAGGGAAGAAACGGUUUUGGCUAAUAUCCAGAACUAAUGACGGUACCUGAAGAAUAAGCACCGGCUAACUACGUGCCAGCCGCCGCGGUAACAC